CACAAUCCCGCCCCUUCUGCUCUAUCUGGCGCACCUGCACCCCCAUCCAUUAUCUGAGAUUUAUGUACUAUUAACCUUAGCAGCCCGAGAGGUACGAAGGCGCAUGUUUAUUUUUUUAAAUCUUGGCUCACAAAUGUUGUUCACUCAGAGGGAUGGUCUUUCUUUCUCUCUCCAUUUCUUUUUUUUUUUGUCCUUUCUCUUUCUCUUUCUCUCCCUCCUACUCCUCCACCUCCUCCUCUCUGUGUUCAUUCCAUCAAGGCUACUUGAGAAGAGUGUAAUGGAGAGACGUUGCACUCCAUCCCCCCGGACAGACAACCCAGGGGGAGGGGGAGAUGGACCAGCAGGGGUGAGGAGGAGGAGGAGGAGGAGGAGGAGGAGGAGGAGGAGGAGGAGGAGGAGGAGGAGGUCGGUCCGUGUGAGGUAUCGCGUCUUCAACCAUCAACAUGCGCUGAAUGCCGCCGCUCCAUGCCCUGCCAAUUAUUCACAUUUCUUCGUCUGCACUAUUUAUUUAGAGUAUGUAGUGGAGCAGAUUAAGGGUAGCGACCAUGGGAAACCCAGCUAUUUAUGCUACGCCCGCCGUGAAUUUGGAGCAAUAUCUUGUUUCUCAUUUCAUUUGGCAGAAUUAUUGCAGUUAUUAAAUUCCUGAUGAUACGAUUCCCGGCAGGAGCGAGUCAGAAUCAGAUGAAAAGCGCGCACUUGUUUCAGCCUCGCCGCGGCCCCAGCACGGGCGGCCUGAACGCUCCCCUCUGCAAGUGAACGUUCGUUUCUGCUUCUGUGAUUGGACAUUCUAAAUGCCAAUUUACCAGCUAAUGGUCAUUCCUGCCAUCCUUUUACUAAGUGAGAAAACUGUUCGUGUUCCUGAGCAAGGGAGUGGCGGUCGCUUCUGCUCGGGUACUGGCGUCUCUCUCUCUCUCUCUCUCUCUCUCUCUCUCUCUGAGGGGAGAUGUGCAGCGAGGAGUGUCACAAAGUGUGUGCCCCGCUGUGUUCCUCAGCUAAGUGGCGGGGACGCCUCGCUGACCACCUUCACCUCCUCCUCCUCCUCCUCCUCCUCCUAUUCCACGUCCUCCCAGCAGCCGGAGGUUAGCGCGCUGCCCGACACACGCCAGGGAGCGCGGCGGAUAAAAGACCGGACGGACAUGCACGGCAGCGGCAGGACAGAGGCGGAGUCAAUAACACUCACACCGACGGAUUAGGUGCAGAUCCCGCCUCCCAGGGACACACUUGUGCACCUGUCAAGCGAAUAUAAAAACAUAAUAAGGAGACUGCAAAAGGUCAGGUGGUGUGAUGCACGGGCCGGGGAGUGAGCCAAGACUCUCUCCUCUCACCUGCCCUGGCCUCACCUGUACCUGGACGGGGGAAGAAGAGGAUUCCUGUUUUAUUCCACUCGUUUUACUGCUGCGGAGGGCAAGACACACCUGGUGAUACCCUCAGGUGAGCUGGACGCCACUAUCUCUCUACCUGAUACCUGUGUCCUCGUAUAAAAGGUAAUUAGUUAAUGCAUGAAGGUGAGUAACAUGAAAGAGAAGGUAGAUGAUGUUCUACUUAUAUUAUCUUGAUUUACCUGGUAGUGUAGUCGUGGUUAAAAGUCUAAUAAUAUUCUAUUUUUCAUUGUAUUUUGUGUUUUCUCUCAAUCUUAACUCCUGUGAUAUGUUAAGAAUCUAAUAUCGUCAGCUUUUGUAAGAUUUCCAAGAGAUCAGAGGACGUAAGAUUGAAGUGAGUGCAAUAGAUUACUCGAUUAUGGAGUGUAUUAAUUUCUAGCCUCUCAUAGUUUACAAUUCUCAGUGAGGAUUUGCUUACAGUUUCUGGAAAGACAGCAGUGUGAUAAGACGAAGGGAAUUAAGUGUAAUAUUUCGUUAUUACCUUGAUUUCCUUGACGAUGAGCAUUUAUUAAUUCAGGUUCUCCAUAAGGAUUUUCUUGUGAUUUCUGAAAGAAUAAUGGUACAGCUAAUUAAUAUAUACGUAUUAUGAAUGAUACACGUGGAUUUAGAAAUGCAUAAAAACAGUUUUGUUUUGUUAUUUCAUAAUGAUACAUACAGAUUUGUAUGCUCAUAACAUUCAUCUUCUCUUUACAAACUUAGAAAAAAAUUCUUUCUUUUAUGCGAAAAAGAAAACAACUAAAGGCACAAAAAAAAAAAAUGGAAUAAGAAGGAAAGACUACUAUUUUGUCUUUUACGAAAAAAAUAAAUACAUAAAUAGAUAACUAUAGAAGAAAGUUUAAAAUGAAGAACAGUUUAGUAUUGGACUGUACUCCUUCUGGAUACACACUACAAGCAGGCACUAACCUACACAACCAUUCGUCACACACCACAAACAUAAAAACAUCGUAGCAGACACAUUAGAAAAUCCACACCACUAAAUCAAACACACACACACACACACACACACACACACACACACACACACACACACACACACACACACACACACACACACACACACACAACGUACCACAACACAGCAAGUUACCGUCUUUGUAUUACGGAUUUUUAUCACUCAUUCCCAUGACCAAAAAGAAAAGAUAAGAGACACUCAUUUGUAUUUUUCCGAGUCACUACAACUAAUGGAGACGCACUUGGGGAGACUGAGGCGGAUGUGCAGCUUUCAUGUACGUAGACACAGAUAUAAAAAUUAACUCUUAUUCCGUAAAUUGACUUGUUGUUUAGUAAUGCCUCUCAAAUGCAAGUAUUAUUAUUAUUAUAUAUAUUUUUUUUUUCAUGUGACUGGUGUGUUGUGCUGAAUGUUUUGUCUAAUGUAAUGAUGAUGAUAAUAAUAAUUAGAAGAUGAAAGAGAAAAAAAAGAAAAAGAAGAUGAAAAAGAAAGAAAAAGUAGAAGUAUGAAUAACAAUAACAACCACAACAAGUAGUAGUAGUAGUAGUAGUAGUAGUAGUAGUAGCAGCAGCAGCACCAGCACCAGCAGCAGCACCAGCAGCAGCAGCAAUAAAUAGUAAAGGUAGAGGCAGCAAUAGUCAUAGUAACAUUACCAGCAAUAACAGCAACAACACUACCACUAAUAAUGAUAACGAUAACAAAAUAACAACAAUAACAAAGGAGGGAGAGAAAAUAACGGACCACGUGGGAGGACAGGCCGACAAAACCAACAUCGCGAAGGUUUGGGUAUUGAAUAAACGGGCAGGUGUAAACACGAGAGCAGCGGACAGGCACGCCGGGCUUAAUAGACAGGUAGGGGAGGCCCAGGACAAGUAAACACACAAUCCAGACCAAGGAAACGCGGGAAAGGUGGCGCUGGACUAACAGGAGUAGUAGUAGUGGUGGUGGUGGUAGUGGUAGUAGUAGUAGUAAGAGGAGGAGGAGGAAAGGAACAUAAAAAUACAUAGGGAGAAAAGAUACCAGAAGAUUUGGUGUGUAACUAUGUACUACUGCCAGUAAUUGAUAUGAAGGACAGCAAGAUAGAAUAGAGAAAGGAAAAAAAGAGACGGAGGAGGUGGAUUACAUAGAAGAGAUGAACUACUGCUACUAUUACUACUACUGAACUACUUGUCGAAUAGGGUAAGGAGGAGGAGAACAAUAAGGUUAAUGAAAAAGACGAGACCAGGUUUAGCGUUGGAAGGGGAAACAAAUGUCCCUAGAAAUAGUACAGUGAUUCAUAUUCGCCUGCAGUGGACAGGUGAAAGUGAGUCAAGCGCAAACACAUAACACUGGAAAGGUAAACAAACAGGUGCAAUGCGGCAAAUAAACAGAUGGUUAGCGGAACAGUCAACAGAGGGCGGCAGGGAGGCUGAUCACAUGAUAAACACACGAGUUGGGAAAAUACCCAUGCCUGUUUAGAUAACACACACACACACAGACAAACACACACACACACACACACACACACAAGGAGGUUGACAGCACACCAGAAGACUCGCAAAGGGACUGACAGGACAAUUUCUUCACCUAAUGGAUGUAACUCUUCAUUGUAAGUCAUGCGGCCCGGAUUUUCCUCGCGCCGUCCUGUCACAAACACGUUCUUCUCCCGUCCACUGGGUGACUUAACUGACUCAACCUGACCUGCCCUCCUGCGUGACCUUCGUGUAUGGUUAUGAUUGUGUUGUAUUGUUGUUAUAACUUUCCUCCUCCUCCUCCACGUCUUCUUUUUGCUAUACAAUAAAGACGGUAGUUCAGAUCCUCAUCUCUCAAUGUCUCCAUUUUCUAUCUCCAUUCCUUCUCUUACUUUCUCCCUUUCAUUCCUUUUAUCCGUCCCUUUUUAGUGUCUUAGUGACUUUGAUUUUUAUGUUAAUGUGUUUGUUGAGUCUUAUUAGUGUUGGUACUUUCAUUAUUGAUAUUUGUAUUAUCAUUAGUAGUAGUAGUAGUACUAGUAGCUGUAGUAGUAGCAGUACAAGUAGAAGUAAUAGUAGUAGUAGCAACAGCAGCAGUAUCGUUGUUUCCAUCAUAAUUAUUAUUACUUUUAUUUCUGUCGUUAUUUAUAAAUGUGAUAGACAUAACAAGACUCGCCUUUGCGUAUCACAUCAAGUCCUUAAAAAAAAAAAAAAGUAGCACAGGAAAAAAAAAAAAAACACACACGCACCUACAAACACGCAGACACAAACACAGGUAUACGUGAACAAAAUAUAAUUACGAUGAAAGCUAGCAAGGCAUGUAAGUGUGCGUGCAGGAGGAGGUAGAAUCAUAGGAGGGGUGGCGGUAUCAAACACGUGUGGCCAGUGAGGCGAACACACACAAGGGAAGAUAAAGUACACCUCGCAACCACUUCAUUAGCGGACUGAGGAGGCGAAUCUCUCAGACGAAAGCAGCAGGGAAACGUCGGCUGUAAAUCACAAACAGGCUGGCCAAGACUUGUUUGUCCAGCCCGCAUUCCAGCCCAGAUCAUCACCGGGCCGCCGAGUGGGUAAUUGCAGCCCAGUAAGCCUCAGGAAACAUCUGGGCUUGGUGGCCUUUGUCGUUGCUUAAUCCCUUGAUUGCUAUCUGGCACGUAUUUCUUUGAUCAUAAACCACUCCAAGACAAUUUCUUUCCCUGUUACAACCACUUUCAAGCAUUUUACUAGCGAGAAACUUUAAAAUCUAGUACCUGGAGCCUUCUUUCUUUCUAUAACUUUUAGCUUCAAUCCUUUAUUGCUAUCCGGCACGUAUUUCCUUGAUUAUAAACCACUUCAAAACAAUUUCCUUCUCUAUUAUAACAAUCUUCAGACACUUCACUAGCUAGAAACUGAAAAAUGUAAUAUAUUAACGCCUUUUCUUUCUUUACACUGUUUUUAGUGUUGUGAACUAAUGCAUAUUGCAGUGAAAUGGUUAUAUAGAGUAUGAUAUGGUCCACAGAUUGUUGGUUCCCUAGUGUCACCCGUGAGUUCUUGAGGGAUGAAGCUUUGGCUUUGGUUUGGAAGGUUAGUGUCAGUGAGUGUGAGGAGAUGAUGCGUGUCCGAUAAUAUGAUUGGUGUGUGUGCGUUCUUGGUUCGAGUCUGCCCUUGGGAUAUGUAAAUGAUGUGUGUGUGUGUGUGUGUGUGUGUGUGUGUGUGUGUGUGUGUGUGUGUGUGUGUGUGUGUUUGAAGCUGUCCAGUGUAGAUUAAAGUGACGAAUUUGCUACACACACACACACACACACACACACACAAAGGUACAAGUCAUUUAGAACCAGGUGCUAAAUUAGGGAAGGAAGCUAACAUAACAGUCACACCAGUUAGCACCACCACCACCACCACCUCGCACCCACACUACUCCCUACCGCCACCAUCUCACACCUACAUUUCCUACCACCACCACCACCACUACCUCACUCUAGCCGCCCUGAGCGUUCCCUACAGGAGUCUGGUUGGGGGGAUAAGGGCGCGUACGAGUGACUGCUUUCCUGUUGUAAUGUUUGUCCAAAAUUUAACGCCGCUUGUCUCAGUAAAUCAGUUUAAUUAAGAGACGUAUUUACUCUUUAUUAACGGUGGUCUUUGAUUAACCUCAGCUUGAGAGGAGAGAGAGGGAAGGAGUGGGGAGUCAGGGCACGCCGCUCCCCCUUCCCCCCUUCCCCCCUUACCCCUUUCACCUAACUCGAUCCCCCAGACUUGGGUUCUCGUCCUCGACUCUGCUCAUUACGGGAAGCAGGUCCGGCCGAUGUUGGUUUAUGAUUUUUACCUCACAUUAUGAUUUCUCGGUAAUUACCACUACAACAUGGGUGGCAAUUAAGCUGCCUGGUUUUUUUUUUUUCUUUUCUUUUUUCCUUUCUCCUCCUAGUUGUUGUUUCCCUCGUCUUGACCGUGGAGGAGGGAGAGUGAGGGAGGGUGACUGAGUAAGAGGGAUUGAGGGUCGGAAAAGGAAAGUGAAUAGGGAGUGAGGAGUGAUGGAGGGCUAUGGAGGGUAAGAAAGUGAAGGAGAGUAAGGAAUGAGUGUUGGGGAGUAAGAGGGAGUUAAGAGUAUGUUAGGGGAAUAAGGGAGCGUAAUAAGUGGAGUGAGGGAGAGUAACAGGGCUGUGUGAGGAUAGGGAGGCACACUUCCCCUCGGGUGAUCCCUAGGGAGGCCGCGAUGAGGUCAGCAAAUAAUGGGCGAGGAGUCAUAACUGGCGGCAGGAAGCAAUAAUAUGGCACUGUUUGGCAGCUCCUCCACGAACACCAAUUAAUUAGGAAGGUAAGCAGGUGAGGUGCCAGGUGUUGCUGGAUCGUUAACUUACCACACCACUAUUACUCCCCCUCCCUCUCCCCCACCUCCUCUCCCUCCAGUCCUCAACCUCUCCUCGUUUCCAGAAUCCUGCGCCACAAUCACAAGCACCACCACCAUCACCACCGUCACCAUUUCAUAAAAACAACAUAUUAAUCUUAAAUAAUUUUGUUUAUGCGAUGCAUUUUUAUGAAAACUAAUCAAGGUAAGAAACUGACAUACAGUGUAGUGUUAAUUAAUGAGAGAAACGCCUGCCCUCCCUGACAUUUUUAUUUCGCAGUUUUCAUUGUUGGUUCAUAUUAUUAAAAUGUAAUUUGAUAGACCAUUCAUUCAUUUUGGCUUUUUAGUUGACCAAAGUUUAAUUAAUCAUAAUAAUUAAACACUCACACGUUUGAUUCCUUUGGCGAGACUCGUGUUUGGAGAAAAUAGUGACUUUUAUGUUGCCUUUCUUUUAUUUAGUUAAUGAAAUGGUGAUGCUGGUGGUGGCGGUGGUGGUGGUGAUGACUGGUGUAGUGGCGGGUACAUAUCUGGUAUUGAUGAUGUGUAGGUGGUAGUGAUGCUGUUGUGGCUGUGAUGCGAUUAGAGCGGUAACGAUAUAACUGAAGUGGUGAUUAUGUAUUCAUGGUGGUAGUGUGGUUAUGGUAAUAAGAGUGUAGUGUCUGCUGCUCAUGGUAGUUAAUAUGUGGGUGUGGUGAUGAGUGGUGGCACAGAUAGUGAUGAGCCAAAUAAACACCUUGGCAUAUCUUGGAGACUUUCACCAGCGUAAUCCUGAUUGUUGGAAGAGCAGAGUGGGACUCGAAAAGUUUUUAUUUAUAAUUUGUUUGACUCCGGGAUCAGCAGUGACAAGCGGAAGAUAAGCUGCAUUUAAUCAGGUACGUUACGAUCUUUAACACUCAUUUUUUUUUUCAACGAAACACAUUAAUACUACUUUUUCCAAUGUUUACUUUAGUUUUAUACUGAAAGAAAUAUUGCGAAUUGUGUAAUUAGUGUUUUCCUGUUUCGAACCAGUUGAGCACAUUGUUAUAACACUACAUUAUUGCAAUUUACCAUAUAGACAGCAUUAAUGAUACGAUAAUAUGAGUAGGUACAAUAAUAUUUAUAGUAGAUUAGAAGUAGCACAAAGGUAGUAAACAAGUUAUUUAGAUUCCACCUGUAUCUCGACUAAGGAUUCAGUGAAACAGCCACAUUUCAAAUCUAGACAUUUUUUUCUUUUCUAUAAACCAUGUUAAUCAGAUGCUAAUAUACGCAGAGGUUGUAUGCUUAUAUCUAUAAUAAACUAAGAAGAGAGGAAAUUACUAUCUCGACUCAAGAUUCAGUGAAGCAGCUGGAUUUCACAUUCCACGACCGCCGACCAGUGAGCGUUUAGUGCGUGGCUGACGGCAGCGGAGGGAGGUGAAGGCGUGGAGGCGGCGUGGCAGAGGCGUUGCUGUCGUCAUGGCGUGUUGUUCUUCCCGUCUUGUUCAUUAGCAGGACAAGAGCGGCGGUGGCGGCACUUUCCGUCUCCACGUGAUCGUCACCACCUGCACCGCUAACCUCCCGCCGCCCAGACUCAGCGCGUGCACACCUUCAGCAGCACGCACCACCAACACAGCUACGGUGUGUGUACUUUCUACGGACACGCAGAUCUCCCUCCACAUUGUGUGAUGAAAACCUUGGGGAUGUUACACAGAUCCGGAGAUGAGAGGAUGACGCAGCAGCACUGAGGCGCUUCAGACACGGAGAUCCGAAGCCGGAAGAGCGCGGAUGGUCGCAGCUUCGAGUACAGACAACUUACAAGCAAUGGGAAGAAAAGAUUCUCAGGCCGGCGUCUUCAGUGAAGCAAGUUGCGCUUCCAGUCGUUAUAUAAAAAAAAUAAAGGGGGAGGAAAAAAAGCGGCAACAAAUACGCCAGGACCGUUUUCCUCCCCCUUUAAGUGUGUGUGUGUUUUUGGUUGUUUAAUUUUCUUCCCCAACCCACAAAAACAUUUAUUAUUCCUCGCUUACUUAUAAGGUCCUAGAAUUUUUUUUUAAUUAGUGACACUCACACUACUGGGGUGACGCACCCCCUCCUCCCCCGCUUAUCCUCCAAUCAUUAAGGUGGAUAUGAUGGGAUGGAUGAUUUCUCUUAUUUUAAAUUAAUGCUACUUGGAUAAGCGGGGAAGAAGACGCACCCGCACCACUCCUUAACGGUAAGCGAGAGGAAUGACAUUCAAGAAAAUGGGUUGGGGAAAAUUAAAUAAUCCCCCCUUGUUUUUA